AACACCGGCGGCCCGAGUGGUGAUCGUGAUAUUGGGUCUAAGGGUCCGUAGCCGGUUUGGUCAGUCCUCCGGGAAAUCUGAUAGCUCAACUAUUAGGCUUUCGGGGGAUACUGCCAGACUUGGAACCGGGAGAGGUAAGAGGUACUACAGGGGUAGGAGUGAAAUCUUGUAAUCCCUGUGGGACCACCUGUGGCGAAGGCGUCUUACCAGAACGGGUUCGACGGUGAGGGACGAAAGCUGGGGGCACGAACCGGAUUAGAUACCCGGGUAGUCCCAGCCGUAAACGAUGCUCGCUAGGUGUCAGGCAUGGCGCGACCGUGUCUGGUGCCGCAGGGAAGCCGUGAAGCGAGCCACCUGGGAAGUACGGCCGCAAGGCUGAAACUUAAAGGAAUUGGCGGGGGAGCACAACAACGGGUGGAGCCCUGCGGUUUAAUUGGACUCAACGCCGGACAACUCACCGGGGGCGACAGCAAUAUGUAGGCCAAGCUGAAGACUUUGCCUGAAUCGCUGAGGAGUGGUGCAUGG
rnacentral:rRNA from 1 species